UGGGGAAUAUUGCACAAUGGGCGCAAGCCUGAUGCAGCCAUGCCGCGUGUAUGAAGAAGGCCUUCGGGUUGUAAAGUACUUUCAGCGAGGAGGAAGGCGUUGUGGUUAAUAACCGCAACGAUUGACGUUACUCGCAGAAGAAGCACCGGCUAACUCCGUGCCAGCAGCCGCGGGAAUACGGAGGGUGCAAGCGUUAAUCGGAAUUACUGGGCGUAAAGCGCACGCAGGCGGUCUGUCAAGUCGGAUGUGAAAUCCCCGGGCUCAACCUGGGAACUGCAUCCGAAACUGGCAGGCUAGAGUCUUGUAGAGGGGGGUAGAAUUCCAGGUGUAGCGGUGAAAUGCGUAGAGAUCUGGAGGAAUACCGGUGGCGAAGGCGGCCCCCUGGACAAAGACUGACGCUCAGGUGCGAAAGCGUGGGGAGCAAACA
rnacentral:rRNA from 1 species